rnacentral:rRNA from 1 species
GAUGAACGCUGGCGGCGUGCUUAACACAUGCAAGUCGAACGGGAUCCAAGGAGCGUUUUUCGUUUUUUGGUGAGAGUGGCGAACGGGUGAGUAACACGUGAGUAACCUGUCCUUUUCUUUGGGAUAAGCUCCUGAAAGGGUGUUUAAUACCUUAUGUUCUGUCUGCCUCGCAUGGGGUGGGUGGGAAAGAUUUUUUCGGUGAAGGGUGGGCUCGCGGUCUAUCAGCUUGUUGGUGGGGUGAUGGCUUACCAAGGCUUUGACGGGUAGCCGGCCUGAGGGGGGGGGUGGGUAAAAUGGGACGGAGAUAAGGGCCAGGCAUCCGGGGGAGGCAGCAGUGGGGGAUAUUGCACAAUGGGCGCAAGCCUGAUGCAGCGACGCCGCGUGGGGGAUGAAGGCCUUCGGGUUGUAAACUUCUUUUGCUCUGAACAAGGCGCAUCUUUGGGGUGUGUUGAGUGUAGGGGUUGAUUAGCGCCGGCUAACUACGUG